GUAGUGUAUCACAUGACAGACAACAUGUAAAAAGGCCCGAUGCUGUCGUCUGCACCCAGGCUGUUUAUGAGCGCUAUUAGCUCCUCGGCAGCGAGCUUCAUGUUGACGGCCGUGGGCCGCGCCGAGACCAAGUAGUUGAGCUUCCCCUCCACUUCCUGACGAAGAACCUUCUUGUCGUCGAAGGUCUCACCCAGCAGCUCGACGGCCAGGCUGAGGCAGCCCACGAUCGCUAUAGCUGGUGCUCCCCGCACCUACACCCACACCAUUUAUGUUCAGACCACACGAGGUAUUAUACAAUGGAGCUUCUGUGUACCUGGAAUUGUUCUUGUAUUCCUGAAACAUUGCUUCA